UCCUCAGUAGCUCAGUGGUAGAGCGGUUAGUUGUUAACUAACUGGUCGUGGGUUCAAAUCUCCUACUUGGGGAG